GACUGGGCCCUGGGAUUUGCUGCUCACGACCCGAGUUCACUGAGACAUCAGGAGCAAGCACUGGAGGCCGGUGCUGCUGGACCCAGAUGGGAGCCAUGCAGGACUUGACCAUUGCCUGCACACACUUCAUCCCAGGAGAAGGGGAAUGAGGAAGGCAGACUGGCAUCACAGGACCCUGCAGAGUAUUAACUCAGACCCUGGUGACUGAGGUCCAGUACCAAUACUAUACCUGCUGGAUCCAGUACUGCGGCAGGGUAAGACCAGCCAGGACAAGCCAGUGCCAGGUGGCACAGGUGUUUGGAAAAGGCCUGACGUGUACCCAACUGUGUGAAGGAAUGGGGGACCCAAAACACAGGGCAAAGAAUUAUGCUUCCAUCCAGGAGAGAAAAGGUCUGGAUCCCCUAGGGUUGCCACCAGGAUCACCAGAAAGUUUGUUAAAUAGAGAAGCACUUGAUAGAAGGCACCUGGAUAAGGAUGGACAGAAAUCAGAGGCCUUGGCUAUCUGGAUUCUGACUUCUUCAAAAAGAUGAGAUGAUAGAUGAGAGUGGGUGCCUUAGAUCUCACUUCCUUUUCUUUAACAUAUUUUUGUUGCUGGGAUGAGAUUCUAGCCAUUCCUAAUAUAAAUACUAUUGAAAGCAAAGGGAAACGGAAAAUUUAGUUCUUGUAUCUGCUCACUCUUAAGACGGAAUAACAAAAAGCUGAAGACUGGGUCUCUUGCAGAUGUUUUGUUGUUGUUUCCUCAGGUUGGAAUGGUAGGAGCAGAGCAAGAUCCUUGAUGGGCCAAUACUGUUCUCUUAUGGCACAAGUUCCAGUAUAUAGAUAAUUUCUGCCACACAAGGUCCUAGAAGCCCCUAAAACUGAGUCUAUGGGUGCUCAAGUGGUUGCAGACUCUGCUAAACAUUACAUUAUUUCUGUGGGUACCCUGCAGCCAUUCAUUAGUAUAGUCUUGAUACAUAACCUAGUAAACAGGACCCGAACCAAGUGUAUAGUUGUCCUGAGGUACAUGAAGAAUAAGUGGAGGGGCAGAACUUCACAGUUUGCUUUUUAAAAGAUUUUUAAAAAUUACUUAUUGGGGUUGGAGAAAUGGCUUUUCGGUUAAGAGCACUGACUGCUCUUCCAGAGGUCCUGAGUUCAGUUCCCAGCAACCACAUGGUGGCUCACAACCAUCUGUAAUGGGAUCUAGUGUGCCUGAAGACAGCUACAGUAUACUCAUAUACAUAAAAUGAAUCUUUUUUAAAAAAAACAGUUACUUAUUUUGUACUUGUUAUUGUUUUUAUCAUUUUCUAAUCAUAUGUAUAUAUCUGUGCAAGCUUAAGUACCUACCAACCCCUCUUGGAUGAUAGGAACCAUCUCUGGCCUCAAGAGCAGUGCAUAAAGCUCACUCAUUCCUCCAACCCCAAGCACGGUCUCAUAACAAUUAUUUCCUCUGUAGAGUCUCUUAGCAAGCUCAUCCAUGACCACUGAAUUUCCAUUGGAAAUGACUGAUUUACUAUGACUGAAGAAGCUAUGAGGAACGCCAAACUCCCAAAG
rnacentral:lncRNA from 1 species